UACGUAGGGGGCAAGCGUUGUCCGGAUUUAUUGGGCGUAAAGGGCUUGUAGGUGGCCACGCCAGUCCGGAUGUGAAAUCUCCCGGCUCAACUGGGAGGGGUCAUUCGAUACUGGCGGGCUCGAGGCCGGUAGGGGGAAGUGGAAUUCCCGGUGUAGUGGUGGAAUGCGUAGAUAUCGGGAGGAACACCAGUGGCGAAGGCGGCUUCCUGGACCGGUUCUGACACUGAGGAGCGAAAGCGUGGGGAGCGAUCCGG
rnacentral:rRNA from 1 species